GACUCGGUGGCGCGCGCACCUGGUAGCGCGUCUGACUCCAUAUCAGAAGGUUGCGUGUUCGAAUCACGUCCGGGUCA